rnacentral:rRNA from 1 species
GAUGAACGCUAGCGGCAGGCUUAAUACAUGCAAGUCGUGGGGCAGCAUGAGUGUAGCAAUACAUUUGAUGGCGACCGGCAAACGGGUGCGGAACACGUACAGAACCCUCCUUCAAGCGGGGCAUAGCCCAGAGAAAUUUGGCUUAAUACCCCAUAAUAUAAUGAAGAGGCAUCUCUUUGUUAUUAAAGAUUUAUCACUUGAAGAUGGCUGUGCGGCUGAUUAGGUAGUUGGCGGGGUAACGGCCCACCAAGCCUGCGAUCAGUAACUGGUGUGAGAGCACGACCAGUCACACGGGCACUGAGACACAGGCCCGACUCCUACGGGAGGCAGCAGUAAGGAAUAUUGGUCAAUGGACGCAAGUCUGAACCAGCCAUGCCGCGUGGAGGAUGAAGGUCCUCUGGAUUGUAAACUUCUUUUAUAUGGGACGAAAAAAGGCUUUUCUAAGUCGUCUGACGGUACCAUAUGAAUAAGCACCGGCUAACUCCGUGCCAGCCGCCGCGGUAAGAC